AUUGAACGCUGGCGGCAGGCCUAACACAUGCAAGUCGAGCGGAUGACGGGAGCUUGCUCCUUGAUUCAGCGGCGGACGGGUGAGUAAUGCCUAGGAAUCUGCCUGGUAGUGGGGGACAACGUUUCGAAAGGAACGCUAAUACCGCAUACGUCCUACGGGAGAAAGCAGGGGACCUUCGGGCCUUGCGCUAUCAGAUGAGCCUAGGUCGGAUUAGCUUGUUGGUGAGGUAAUGGCUCACCAAGGCGACGAUCCGUAACUGGUCUGAGAGGAUGAUCAGUCACACUGGAACUGAGACACGGUCCAGACUCCUACGGGAGGCAGCAGUGGGGAAUAUUGGACAAUGGGCGAAAGCCUGAUCCAGCCAUGCCGCGUGUGUGAAGAAGGUCUUCGGAUUGUAAAGCACUUUAAGUUGGGAGGAAGGGCAGUAAGCUAAUACCUUGCUGUUUUGACGUUACCGACAGAAUAAGCACCGGCUAACUCUGUGCCAGCAGCCGCGGUAAUACAGAGGGUGCAAGCGUUAAUCGGAAUUACUGGGCGUAAAGCGCGCGUAGGUGGUUUGUUAAGUUGGAUGUGAAAGCCCCGGGCUCAACCUGGGAACUGCAUCCAAAACUGGCAAGCUAGAGUACGGUAGAGGGUGGUGGAAUUUCCUGUGUAGCGGUGAAAUGCGUAGAUAUAGGAAGGAACACCAGUGGCGAAGGCGACCACCUGGACUGAUACUGACACUGAGGUGCGAAAGCG
rnacentral:rRNA from 1 species